GUGCUGGGUGACAGAGCGUGUCCUUUCCACACGGGGGUGCUCCAUAAGCCUUGUUCUCCCCCUGUCCAAGCCCUCUCCCUUCUCCCUCCUCUCUCUCCAGCUGGAACUACCCCAGACCCCAACUGCCUCCACCCAUGACCUGCUCUGGUGUAGAAUCUCCCUGUUUCUUUCCUCUCUGCUGCUGACUCACUCCUUUCCUACUCCACAGGCCGGUUCUUUGAUGAGAAUGAAUCCCCUGUGGACCCCCAGCAGGGUUCUAAACUGGCAGAUUAUAAUGGGGAUGAUGGGAACGUGGGUGAGUAUGAGGCAGACAAACAGGCUGAGCUGGCUUACAAUGAGGAAGAGGAUGGUGAUGGUGGAGAAGAAGACGUCCAAGAUGAUGAGGAGCGAGACCUGCAGAACGACCUGGGGGACUACAAGUCCCGCUUCAGCGACGGGGUCCUGUAGGCCCGGGGCACAGAGAGCCCAACCCAAGGACUUGAGGUGCUGCAAAACUGAACCAGUUCUACUCCAGUGUAUCCUACUUCCAAGGAAGCUGAGAAUAAAGUGCCGAGUGUGCUCAGCCAGCAGGUGAAGAGGAGCCACUGUACAUAUGUACAUACUUGUACUGCUGCAGGUUGUAUUAAACCAGCAUUGUCACAUGGAGCCGGUUACUCAGCCUGGUCCUUAUCUGAAAUAAUCUUUACACUUAAGCCCAGUCUAUAAACACAGGCUGAACUGUUUCUGCCAUUUACAACACUUUGGAACCUGGAGGACUUGUACAGUUUGUACCUGAUGUAACAAAGCUGCUGUGGAAGCCAUGUACAGCCAAGGACUCCUUUUCUACAGUCCCACCUGUGUGGGCAGAACUGCUUCUCCCGAGUGCUGGGUUUGUCCAGCAGGUGAGCCACGAGCUGGGAAUGAGAACUGAACGGUUCAAUAGCUGCUCCCUCCUCACUGUGACCCAGGCUGGGGCAGCCCUCGGCACCACUGAGCUCCUGUACAGUGACCACAUCUCAUAGCUAGAGCUGCAAAUCUAUAGUAGGACUUCAGUAAUUUGGUUCAUCCCCAAAAGGUUGUGCAACUAAUAGCUUGAUUUAAAAGAUAUAAAUUGAUAUAAAUUGGUAUAAAUAAUUAUAAAUAAUUCACAGCUUGUAGGAAAUCUUUGUGUUAAAGACAGCAAGGGUGUGAGUGAGACACGUCUGUCUGCCCUCGACAGAAGGACCAGCCCCUCCUGGGUUUGCUGCUGGUGUGCUGUCCCAGGUUGUCCAGCCCAGGUCCAGCCACUGCAGCCCAUUUCCAGUUUGAUCCUUGCUACACAACUGUGAACACCUGCCACGUCCCACAGUCUGGUUUUCUCCAUCAGAUCUGUAAGUCAGACCCUUUUCUGUGUUCUGUGUUUAAGUACCAUCAGAAUUUAUGGAGAUGAUUCCAUGACUCUGCAGUGUGGGAAUAAAGGGGAUUGUCCUGCCUGCUCCUCCA
rnacentral:lncRNA from 1 species